rnacentral:lncRNA from 1 species
CUUUAGUUAUACAUAAGAGUAGAAUAUAUUUUAAUAUAAUUAUAUAAGCAUAAAAUGCAUCUUAUUCUAAUCACACUCCUAUUUUUGUGGAUUACAUGAUGGUGGGAUUUGCUCUGGUAUAUUUCUAUAUUACAUAAGAAAUAGAAUGUUGAGUUGUUUUGGCCCUUCUUCUGUGAUGGAUGUACUCUGAAAAAUUUCCUUAUCUUUUGGUAUAUGUUGAAAUGUCUUAAUUUCCCACAUAUUGGGAGAGGAUAGUGUUGUCAGGCAGAAAAUUCUUUAUUGACAAAUUUCCUAUCAGCACUUUAAAUCCAUAAUGCCACAGAUCAAUGGCUUCCAUCAUUUCUGAGGAAAAGCCAACUGUUACAUUUAUGAAAGAUACUUUAUGUGAUGCAUCACUUCUGUCCUUCUUCUUUCAACAGUCUCUGUCUAUGGUUUUGAAUUUUGUUUAAAAUAUGCCUUGAUAUGAGUAUCUUAGGUUUUAUCCCACUUGGAGUUUAGUUUCCAGCAUGGGUAGAGUCAUGACUUUCCUUAAAUGUUAAAAUUUUCAGCCUUUAUUUCUUCAGAGAUGAUAUGCCUCUCCAAGGAAAGCAAAUGGUGACAGAAGCAAGGUGCAAAGGCAAAACAAAGGCUCCUCAUCCAAGCUGCCAGAUUUAUUUAUAUCAAUAGGUUACAUUAGGUCAUUGGCAUCAUUAGUACAUAUUGUUCAUUAUCACAGGUUACAGAGUUAGCAACAUUAUGCAGCUUAUUCCUUAGCUACAUACCAAGAUGCAAUGUGCAAAUUUAGGAGCUUUGUGUAGCUCUCAUGAAUGUUCAUUGUAGGGUCUGGGAUUGUGGCUCAGUGGUAGAUCACUUGUGUAAUAAAUGUGAGGCACUAGGUUCAAUCCUCAGCAACAAUUAAGAAUAAAUAAACAAAAUAAAGGUUUGUGUACAUCUACAAGUAAAAGAAAUUAAAAAAAAAAAAGAAUUGUGUGGGAUCGAUCUUAUUCAGCGAGGAGGUCCACGGAACAGGGUAGAGGACAGUGUUGCUGCGGAGUCCCUAAUCAAGACCUUCAGAGACCAAGCAGGAAACAGAUCUGAUUUUAUUGCAGAGUUACCAUGUAUAUAUACUCAGAUAGUAACUAAGCAGUUUACAGGCAGCCAGCAAGGCAAUUUCUGCUAACUGUCCUUGCAGCGAUCAAUCAAGGAGUGGGCCGUGGAGCAAGUUCAGGGUCUGCAACACAUGGCCUCACGCCUAGGGCUGUGCCUACGGGGUAAGUGGCCUGCUGCCCAGGUGCUUAGCAUGAGGGAGUGGCCUGCCACUCAGAUGCCCUUAACCUAUGCCAUGUAUGCAGUACUCCAUGCACUUUGUCCUCACAAAAGAAUAUCCAUUCCAUAAGGUAACUGUUAUUUAGACAAGUUUAGAUGCAGUGAAACAUAAUGUUGUCUAAAAGAGAGUUCCUCUAUUCCCAGGAGUGGAGUGUCUGAGAUCAAGGUUGAUGCUCUACAUAUAUUAGUUAUCUUACUAGUUCCUGGGAGAAACUGCAGAAUAUUCCCACUGUUGAUAACAAAACGCCUAUUAUUCCUUGGGAGUUUGCUCACCAGAAGAAAUUUGCUAUCUUUUACAUUUCCACAGCCAGAACCCUUAUAUGCCUCUUUUGUCUCUCUUCCCUUUCUGGGAAUUCCAUCAAGGAUGGAAGUCAUAAUAGAUGGAAUUCCAUAAUCUUCUUGGUUCUAUUCAUUUUCUUUUGUUCCUUUUUCUUUAUGCUAUUCAUACUGAAAUGUUUCUGUUGUUCAGUCCUCAUGUUUGCUAUUUCUUUCUUCCAUUCCUUGAAGUCUGCUGUUGAACUUCUAUGCUAAAUCUAUUUAUUGUUUAAUCUGUUGUAUUUUUAGUUCUGAAAUAUCUAUUGGUUUCCCUUUUUAAUCUCAUUUCCCCAAAUUGAGAUUUUUGCUUUUACCACACAUUGAUUUUCUGAUUAUUUCAUCAACUUGUAAAAGAUAAAAGAUUUUAUCAAGUAAGUUUGAUAUCUGGUCUCCUCAGAGGUGGUUUUUGUCAAAUCCGCAUUUUAGCUAUUAAGGUAUAUUUAUUUCUAAUAUUUUUACACUACAUAGUUUUUGCUAUCAUUGAGAACUAAAUAGUUAAAAUAUUACAAUCUGUUAAUUUAAGAAAUAAAAUAUUUUUUACCCUUCUAGCAGUACUAUUAUUAUAAUUUUCAAACACUGUAUUUCUUGUCAUCUAUGAUCAACUAAAUCUCCAUCCCUUUAUGUCUGCAGCCAGUCAGUAUCCUGAAAGAGAUUUUCUUACAUUCCUAGAUCCAAUAAGAAAAUAAAUUCAUUUUUCUUUUUUGAAUUCUUCAUUUAAAGCCUCUUGGGAAGUUUCUUGUCCCUCAAAUAUUUAAACAAUGAGUAAUGUCUCUGUGCCAGUCUGUUAGCAAACAAAAGUCACAAUUUUAUCAGGGCAUGUUGGCUCACACCUGCAAUCUCAAUGACUCAGGAGAAUAAGGUAGGAUGAUUGCAAGUUUGAGGGCAGCUAGGGAAGAUUAGAAAGACCCUAAAUUAAAUUAAAAUGUAAAAAGUGUUGGAGAUACAGCUCAGUGGUGGAAUGCCCUGGGUUCAAUCCCCUGUACUGCAAAGGAAAAAGAAGUCACAACCUUGUUGUGUGAAGGAAAAUAAUUGUCAUUGCCUAGUUGGAGGCCAUCAAGUUGCACAAAAACACAGUUCACUAUCCCCCACUCUGCCUCCCAUGUAGCUGGGUAUGGGGAAUGUUAGCCUCUCUAUGAGCUGCCUGAUUACUGACAUUCAUCAUCAGACACUUUCUUCAUCAGGUAUUUACCAGGAUGAUGCACAUACUUGCCCAUAUUCAAGAGUCCUAAUAUAAUUUCUUCAGAUUAAUUACCCAAAGUCAAUGGUUGAUAUGGUGGAGAGACAAAUGCCUAAAUAGUAAUAGUGAUACCACCAAAUGAUAUUAAUAUUUUAAUCUCUGGCAUGGAAUGCAUUUCCACAUAUUUAUAUUUUUGUUUAUUUUUUUCAGCAAAUUUGAUUUAACCUCACUUAACUAUGAUAAACUACAUGUCUGUAACUUCCCAAUCUCCAACUUCACUUCAACAAAUAAAAAUAUUAACCUUGGCUUAUAAAUGUACUCCCUGAAGUAAUUUUAACUUGACUUAAAUCUUCAGGAUAACUUCUUGAGCUCAUAAAACUACCUGAGGUUGACAUUAUCAUGGGAGAAGACUGACUCUCUCUAGUUAGUACACAUGUUGAGAGGGUUCAGUUCUUGAUAAGGGUGCUGAUUUACAGUUGGCUAAAUAGACCCUAGAGAUCCCAGGUUAUGAAAGCAUUAUUAAUUUAAUGUUAGCCAAGGAAUCUAUUUCAAAAUAAUACAUAUAUCUUGUGUGUAUGUGUGUGUGUUUGUGUUAAUUAUCCCCUGUACUCAGUAUUUAAAAUAGCAGUCUUGUUGAUAAUACUGUGUCACAUCUCCUUCUCAGUAUAAAACCUUGGCUUUCACAUUGGAAUCACUCCUACUCUUUCCUUUAUCAUAUUUGUGCAGUUGAUGCAUCGACUAUCUGUCUUCAAGUGACACUUUGAGUGUCACUUCAUUUUGUAUUUUCCUAUUUAUUCCUGUGCUUGUUCCCUGGACCAAGUAGCAGUGGCCUCCCACCUGGAUCACAACAAUGCUUGCACAUCCUGCUUGGUUUCCCCAUUAUUGUGCGCUGUGAUUCCUUGUAGGAUUUGCUACCCUAGUUGCUUUUUCUCAAUUUCAACUUCAUAAUAGGUUUGUACACAAGAUUGAGCCCAUUUAAAUUUUUGACAGAAGAGGAGAAUUGCAGACUCUUGAUUCAGGCUUAUAACAUCUAGCAUAAAAUGUCCCUCAUUUCUAUUUUGUAUUAAUUAAGUUUCUGUUUCUCUGAAAAUAAGACAAAAUCUAGUUAUUAAUCUGUUAAACAAAUACUGGGUUUAAAAUUUACCUCAAAUACAAGGAGUCUCACUGUGGUUAAUUCUAGGGAUACUACAGUAGCCCCAAGCCUUAGAAAAUUGAGUACUUUCCAUUUUACUUUCCAUAUUUAGAAUGUAGAUCUUCAUUUUCAUGAUUAAAAUAUCAUGUUUCAAGUAAUGUCUAUUCUACGUCCUCAUCAUAUUCAUGAUUGCAAUGAGAAGGAGAAAUUCAGAAGGAUCAUUAAUAGUUUUUAGCUUAUGGGUUUUUUAAGCUAAUAAAUGUUCUCAAAGGACUUCUAGCAGUAAAGUGUCUCAUAUACAAAAGUUUUAAGCCAACAAAGUGUAAGGCUAAAGAAAAUAAAGUCUGGCCAAUGAUCACAGUGUCUACCAUACCACACAGAGGUUUCUUAUGAUCCUGGGAUCUCCAGGGUCUGUUUAGCCAACUGUAAAUCACUGUGAGUCAUUUUGGAUUCAGUAUAAUUACAUAAGUUGGCAGAUAAUUUGACAAAAUAAGACAAAUUAUUCCAAGAAAAAGCAGAAAAUCAACAGUUGAAGUUUAUUUAGUAUCAAACUAAAAUUGCUGUGGAUGAUGUGUUUAGUGCUGGGACAGAGACAAUAAGCAACACAGAGAGAGAUAUUCUGCUCCUGAUGAAGCACACACAUCAGAGGUCUGACCACAGAUGAUGAGCGAUAUUAAUUUGUAGGGACGUGGGGAAGAUGCUGCUAAUAUGCUCCUCUUGUUUGUCUUAGGGAAGGUUCACUAUUUAACCUUCAAUGCCACCAUCUAUAAUCAGGAGGAUGACUGAGAAGUGAAGAGAGCAUGGCAGUAGGAGAGGCAAUGGAGCUGUGGUGCAGUGUCUGGAUUUCAAGGGAUUAUUUAGCAGAUGAAUUCUUGCAGAUGUCUUUCCCCUUUAUGAUAAUUCUAAUUCUGGGGUAGGAAAAAGGAAACUCUCCUUACUGAAGUGUAAGUGAAAAUCUGAGAAAUUAGUGAGGGUUUCUAAGAUGGUUUUCACUCUAAGAAGUUUUCUAAAAACUAAGAUCCAUUAUAAAGCUAUUCCCCAUUAGACAGAUGAUGAACCUGAAGGAAUUUUAUUACUGCAGAAGUAUGUUUCCAUAAAUUCAUAUCAAGAAGUAAGAAUGUCAGGGAGAAGGAUCAGUAAUUUUAAUAUUCUAUGAGAAAAUAUUACCUAAUAAAUUUACUUUUCAAGAGGUCCAGUUGUGCAGCACACAUGAAACAUUCUUUCUAUCCUCUCUCUGGAUUCCAGUGAAAUGAAAAUAUAAGGACUAAUUCUUUUUUAAGGUAAGAGGAGAGAAAAAUAGUAAACACACAGUAAUCUUUAAAAUAGAAAGUUUAAAGAAAUGAAAAUGGAAAAAAAUGAUUUUAGUUUUCUCACUAAGAAACAAUAUUUAUGUAGUCAACAUGGUUUAAACUCUCAGUAUAUAAACAAAAUUGUAGUCUAAUAUAUUCUGUUAAAUGGAUGAAGGGAAGUCUCUCCGUGUGUGUGUGUGUGUGUGUGCACGUGUGUAUGUGAUUGAAUCUAUUUGUACAUCUGUAUUUGUAUUUGUUGGAUUAAGAGAUGAAAAUUCUUAUCUUCCAUACCAGGAAAUCAAUAAAAAUUAUCUGAAAGUUGACAAGUAAGAAACAUUUAUUGUUUUGAAAUAUGAACAUAAAACUUCAGAAAAUUGUGGAAUCAGCUGAUAGAAUGCUCAGCAUGACCACAUUUGGGAUGUGAGAGUUUGAUGGGGCACCACCGCAAAUUGCUUAUGCAAACAAACCAAGAAAUAUCUACUGAUUCAUUAUAAUUUAAUUUUUAAUACCAUGGAUUAUUUUUAUAUAAAUUUAAUAUCUUUGAUUCUUGUUUAUCUUUCUGCUAGGAUCCUAACUUAUUGACAUAAUUAUGUUUUUUUAUUUUUCUAAACUUUUAUUUUAUUUACAUUACUCCUCAUGGAUGAUGAUGUAUAGGUAUUUGCUGAUAAUUUGCAAUACAUAAUUUAUAGAAAAGUAAUACCCAUCUAUACUUUGGUAACUCUAUAUGUAGUAGUGUACCUCUGGACAUAUCAUUUCCAUUUACACUGUUUGGCUUCAUUAAUCAUGCUCCAUGUAGCACAUCAAUGUUAUGACAAAGAUGACAUAUUUGGCUUGUCCUAUUAUUUCUUACUUUUGUUCUACCAUUAAAAUGCAGAAAGAGGUUGUUCAUGUGAUUGGCAGACACUGGAUUCCCUGCAUUCAGGACAGGAAUACAUGCCCUACAUAGAUCCUGUGUUGCAUGAGAUCGGAGAUACAUUGACCUCAUUCCCAAUGGCCUACCUCAUGCAGUGACCUCUGAUGUUAAACUCAGAAAUGACCACAUUCCUAAGGUGGGCUUCUUCUAUGCUGCACUACAGUGCUGUCAAUGUUCCCUAAUUCACAGUAUGUUUCCAAACCUCUAACACACAAGAUCACAGUGUAAAAUCUUACCAACCUUACCUUUCUCUGCAUAAUGGGCUUUGCGCUGUUUCUACAUUGGGCUAUAAAUCUUUAUAACAGGAGCUGAUAUCUGGCAGUGUGAGUCUUCCAUGUUUGUUCUGCCACUUCAAUAUUAUUUUAGGUCUUAGAUGUUUACAUUUCCAAAUGAAUGUUUACCAUUCAGCUUAUAAAUUUCCCCCAGUGACUAAUCUGGCGUUUUUUUUUUUUUCAUGGUGAGGGUAAAUCAGUUUAUGCAUCCAUGCAUUUGGAAAGAAAUGAUAUCUUAAACCAAUGGUUUUGUCCACUCAUGAAUAAGGUGGUUUCCAGUGGUUUUGGUUUCUUGUUAUUUUCUCUGUAAAGUUAGGUUGUCAGUGCAGUGGCUUGUAAGAUUUCUGUUAGGAUUUACCUGAAUGAUAAAAAUUCUGUUAUCAUUUAGAAUGCCUUUGCCAUUAUAUUUCCUGGUAUAUGGAAAUAUGAUUGAUUUCAUCAUUCUGUUGAUAUCACGUUUAGAACCCUCAUGAAAUUUACUGAUUAUCUAUAGAUAUGUUUGGAACUUCAAGGUGCAUAUCCUGCUAUCAGGAGUAUAUUUCCAUUUAUUAUUUUCUAAUUCUCAUCUCUUAAUUUCUCUUUAUGGCAUUAUUUUACUGAUUAGGAUUUAUAUCAUAACACUGAAUAGAAUUGUUGAGAGGCAUCCUUAUUUCACUUCUAAUCACAGAAAUACAUGAAGGUUUAAGAAAUUAAUGUUGAAAAUGAUGUUUUAAGUAAAUUGUGGUAGAUAUUUCUUACCAGAUUAAGAGAGUUUGUUCCUUUAUGUUAUUUUUGGCUCUGUGUGUGUGUGUAGAAUUUUAACAAAUACGUUCUCUGUAUCUAUUAUUAUAAUUGUAUAUAUUGGCUGUUUUUCCUCACUAAAUAUUUGUAUUUUAAGUAUGCAGACACAAUUGAAUUUCAUCCAUUCCACAUUGUUCAUGACAACUCUAUUUAUAAUCCUAAAGUAUUUUGCUCUAUAAUUCUUCUUCCACAAAAUCAUCUUGUCAGAUUGUUGAUGUUAAGGUAAUGCUUACUGCCUAAAAUUAAGUUAGAAAUAUUCCCUGAUGUGGGUCUUAUUACAUUUCCUUUAAUCUUGUGACGACUUCAGGAUAUCUAUGAGAUGUCAGAUAAUGUUUUAUUAAGUUUCGUAUGUUACACAUGAAACAAAUGCAGAAUUUCAGUCAGUGUUUAUCUCCUUUUACAAAGUAUUGCUCCUUCUCCCUGGGAGAAUGAUGUCAGAAUGGUGUCACACUUCUGGCUCUGGUUCAGAAUGGAAGAUGAUAUGAACACAGCCACAAGUAAAAUGUAGCAAUAAAUUAUCUCUCUGACAUUCUCCUGUCACUGCAUUACUGAGAACAAUUGUGGACUCACAGCUUGACAGUGCUUUCUGGCUCACUGUAUUUGGGAUUUAAUUGGUUGGGAUCAGAUAAGAACAGCAGUGACAAUCAAGUGAACCCGAGAUGAUGACUGAAUCCCAGGUAAAUAAAUUUAGAUUUAGUUGGAAUAUAUCUUAACAACCUAGGCAUAUACUUUCAAACUAACAUUAGAGAACAAAUUUCACAGCUCAUUACCUUCAUAGGUUGCUGGAAGGUUAUUCUCAUUUUGGGGGGUGCUGAAAAUUUAACAUAUAGUAUUAAUAUAGGAUCUACAAUAGCAGUAAAAUUGGUGUAACAUUGGAUUGAAUCUACAUUUUAGUAUAAGUUAAACAUUCCCAAAUAAUGUAUAAGUUAUACAUUAGUGCAGGUUUGAAAUGAAACUUCUACACCUGCCUUCACUGUAGCAUACAUGCCACUGAAUCUGUCUGAAAUAAUUUUUUUCUUUUCUUUUCUUUUUCUUUCUUUCUUUUUUUUUUAAAAAAAAGAACAAACAAAAAGGAAAAAAAAAAGGUGACUACUUCAUGCCUUCUCAUCAGGGAAUAGAAACUCAUUACCUGAUAAGUGCUUUAUAUAUUUUUCUGGGAUUGGAUGGAACUUAUCUGGCGCCUCCCUGGAUCUAAUAGAUUGGUUCUCUAUACAUGAUUAGGAAUAUACUCCAAUCUCCAUGCACUUCCCUUGAUCCAUCUUCAAUGAUGGAUAGUGGGAGUUAAUUUUUUUACAUAACACAUGUCUUCCAAGUUAAGAAAACUAGAAUGUGAAGUGUUUGUAUACUUCAUUUAUAUACAUCACAGAGGUAUCAAAGGUCUUCCAUAGAAGGUAAUACUCAUUAAAUCUCUCUUUACCCACCAGGAGAAAGCAUCUCACUUCACAACUUGAUUGUCUUCUGAAUAGUGUUGCCCAUUACGUAAGCUCAGCUACAGAAUAGAAGUCUACAAUAGCAGAGAACAGCACCAUAGACUCCUAACCAGUUAGGGAACAGCUGAGUAAUCUGUCCAUUGUGAAGCAAUAGAACUAGUGCUGUGAGAGAGGAGAGCUCAGAUUACUGGGGUAGAGGCAGUUAUGUGUGAGAAGACGCCAGGUUUGUACCCUCUCUUAUGAAGCAUAAAAUGGGGCAAGCAAUACUGUAAUAAUAUAAAUGACAGCUGAGCUGCCUUAAAGGGGACAGAACGGAAAAGAAGAAAAAAAAGGAGAGCAUUUUGAGGAGUAAAUGUACCACCGGAAGAGGAUCUUUGUUCUCAGUCAAGAAUGUUAGAAAUGCUGCUAAGUAACCACAGAGUCAUGAAAACAUAAAGGAUGUGCCAGAAUACCCUGAAAUAAUCAUAGAACACACUUCUUCCAGUGAUGAGCAUGUGUCUUGCAUCCUGGAUCAGCACACCUGCAUCAUGUGUGCUGAGUCUCUGGCCAUGGAAUCUCCUUCCUUGAUUCUGUCACUUCAAUGCCUGUUCUACAUCAAGGAUUGUGGAUACCACAAUCACAAGGGCAGAGACCUCUCUUCAAAUCCACAUUUCAACACAACAGAAAGAUAAACAAAUAAAUGGAAAUCAAUGUGUCCAGAUGAUCUAUGCAUCAAUGAAAUCAUGAAUAUUAUGUUGAGGAAAAUUAAUGAUGGCAAGAUUUUACUGCUGAUGUUUUUAGCAUCUAUCUGCAGGAUAUUCCCCCAAAUUGGGAGAGGUCUGGGUCCCGGGGAGUGUUUCCCUCUCCCAGAUCUCUGUCUACAUAGUAAGAGGAAGCAUACAGGAUAGAAUGAUCGCCAGGCCACAACUGGAUCCACUGAAGCCUUCUCUUUUACUGACAGCUGUGAGCUUACAAGCACUGUAUGCUUUUGUGGUAUUCCCUGAUAAUUCAGAAUGUGUCCUAUUGACAUAAACUGCUGAGCAAAUCAAUUGGAUAACUUGCAAUCCCUUCUGAGUGUGCAACAGAUACCGAUGACAAUAACAAAAAACUGUUAUUUACUCUUGCUCUCCUUUCCAGACCUCUAUCUGGGACAGUCUAGUUUAGUCACUCUGAGAUCACAGGAACAGGCAUUUUAAAACAAAAGGCAAGCAAACAAACAAAAAUUCACAACAUCUGGUGGUAUCAAUGUAGAGCUAGGAUUAAGAAAAAAAUGAAGCAUUUGAUUAAAAACAUUGCUCGACAUGCUGGAUUCUGAAUUAUGACUGGUUGGAAAUUCAUGACUUGGGAAAAAUAAGUGUAUCUCUGACUUGUAUAUAAAAUAUUGAACUUGUAAUACUUUAUCAAAAAUUAAGAUAGUUUGUCUUUGAAAAUCAAUUCUUUCAAAUAUUUAAAAAUGCUGCCCUAACAUCACAACUGCCUAAGUAGUACAACUUAAAUAUUUUGAAGUACCAAACAUACAUCAUCAUAUAACUGAGUUAAUGUACACAGCAUUUGCUAUUGAGUACCCCAACCCCCCAAAUUCUGGGGAGCAGAGGGCAGAGAUUAUUAUUUUUUAAUGUCUAUAAUGGUAUGCUGUGGCUUCAUAAGAGGUGCCUCCAAAACCACAGUAGAAAAUAAAGGAAACACCACACUGACUCUGUUCAUAAGCCAACAAGCUUCCUCUCAAAUCAGUAUCCAUUAUUUCAUUCUAAGGAUAACUGGGACAGAGAUUCUACAAAAGAAAGAGGCACAGAAGUAUUUCUCUCCCUCUAUAAGUAUAGAGGUAAAACUUAUUCAGCAGAAAUGAGGAAGAGAAAAUCUCAGCUAAUUGAAGGGGGGAGGAAUUGAGAAAGUGUGGCUCUGACAAUCUCCCACCUCUUCCAGAUAGAACUGCAUCUGUUGCUGUUGAGUGUAAGUCAGGUCAGAUGUAACAAAAUGAAAAAUAUCAGACCAUAGUAAAUACUAUUGUGGACAGAAACACAGGCAGGAGGCUUAGAGGCUGACAAGAAGCAAACUGUUAGGUACAUUACAUAAAAAUUGGGAUUCAUUGUGCUGUUUUCAUAUGUACAUAGUAUAUACAUUGAAUAUCUAAACUAUAUUUUCUUUAUCCAUUCAGGUGUUGGCAGAAACCUAACAUAACUUAGCUACUGUGAAUUGUACUUCCUUAAACAUUGCAGAGCAUGUAUUGAUAUUGCAGGCUCAUACUAGUGCUUUGGGAUAAAUUGUGAGGGUGAAAUAGCUAAGUCAUAGAUAGGGUUGUUCAUCCUUGGUCUUCUGAGGAAUCUCCAUACUGAUUUCCAUAGCAGGUGUAAUAAUUUGCAGUUCCACUGACAAUGUAUAAGUGUUUCUUUCCCCCUCCCACACACAUUCUUGCUAACAUUUAUUAUUUAUGUUCUUCAUCAUGGCCACUUUACCUUGGGGGAGAUGAAAUCUCAGUGUAGUUUUGAUGUGCAUUUUCCUGUAUGCUAAAAUGUUGAACAUUCUUUAUAUAGUUGGUGGCCAAAGUAUUUUCAUUUAUUCUUUAAAAAUAAAUAUCUGUUUAGCUCUUGGGUUUUUUUUAAAGAGAGAGAGAGAGAGGAGAGAGAGAGAGAAUUUUAAAAUUUAUUUUUAGUUUUUCAGCAGACACAACAUCUUUGUAUGUGGUGCUGAGGAUUGAACCCUGGCCGCACGCAUGCCAGGCUAGCGUGCUACAGCUUGAGCCACUUCCCCAGCCCAAGCUCUUGGGUUUUGUUUAUUUAUUUUCUCUUGGUGUUUUUGGUGUUAACUUUUUUGAAUCCUUUAUAUAAUCUAGAUAUUAAUCCUGUUGAAGGAGUACUCACAUACAACCACAAGAAUGGGAUCCAAAUGAUUAAUAACUUAUACUCCAUGUAUGUAUAAUAUUUCAAAACAGACUCUGUCAAAAUACAAAACACAAAUUAUUGUCAGGUAUAUAUGAAAAGAACAAGUAAAAAUUAUUUAAUUUUUUUUUAAAUGAGAGUACCUGGCAAAGAUUUUCUACACUUCUAUAGGCUUUCUUUGACUGCUCUUGUUUCUAGUUUCUUCAGUUUUUAUUAUAAAUGGAUUAAAUAUUUAAAAGACUUUUUCUGUGUCUAUUGAGAUGUUCAUGUGCAUUUGUUUCUUAAUUCUAUUGGUGAUUAAUUAUAUGUAUUGAUUUGCUUAUAUUGAACCAUCUUCAUCUGUAGAAAGAAAACAAAUAAAUCAUGAUGGACAACUUCUUAA